GUGGGGAAUAUUGGACAAUGGGCGCAAGCCUGAUCCAGCCAUACCGCGUGGGUGAAGAAGGCCUUCGGGUUGUAAAGCCCUUUUGUUGGGAAAGAAAUCUUGCCGGUUAAUACCUGGCGAGGAUGACGGUACCCAAAGAAUAAGCACCGGCUAACUUCGUGCCAGCAGCCGCGGUAAUACGAAGGGUGCAAGCGUUACUCGGAAUUACUGGGCGUAAAGCGUGCGUAGGUGGUGGUUUAAGUCUGCUGUGAAAGCCCUGGGCUCAACCUGGGAAUUGCAGUGGAUACUGGGUCACUAGAGUGUGGUAGAGGGAUGCGGAAUUUCCGGUGUAGCAGUGAAAUGCGUAGAGAUCGGAAGGAACAUCCGUGGCGAAGGCGGCAUCCUGGGCCAACACUGACACUGAGGCACGAAAGCGUGGGGAGCAAAC
rnacentral:rRNA from 1 species